GGCGAACGCUGGCGGCGUGCUUAACACAUGCAAGUCGAGCGGAAAGGCCCUGCUUUUGUGGGGUGCUCGAGUGGCGAACGGGUGAGUAACACGUGAGUAACCUGCCCUUGACUUUGGGAUAACUUCAGGAAACUGGGGCUAAUACCGGAUAGGAGCUCCUGCUGCAUGGUGGGGGUUGGAAAGUUUCGGCGGUUGGGGAUGGACUCGCGGCUUAUCAGCUUGUUGGUGGGGUAGUGGCUUACCAAGGCUUUGACGGGUAGCCGGCCUGAGAGGGUGACCGGCCACAUUGGGACUGAGAUACGGCCCAGACUCCUACGGGAGGCAGCAGUGGGGAAUAUUGCACAAUGGGCGGAAGCCUGAUGCAGCAACGCCGCGUGCGGGAUGACGGCCUUCGGGUUGUAAACCGCUUUCGCCUGUGACGAAGCGUGAGUGACGGUAAUGGGUAAAGAAGCACCGGCUAACUACGUG
rnacentral:rRNA from 1 species